GCAUUUCCUGCGUCGAGGUUCGUCGCGCCGUCAGUGACGUCAUUUUGAGGCGCCAGCAGUGAGCGUGUAGAUUUCAGUAAAACAUCUACGAACCUUCAUGGGAUUUGAAGUUUCCAUCCUUCAACAUGACUGAAUACUGGAAGUCUCAGCCGAAGAAGUUCUGUCAGUACUGCAAAUGCUGGAUCGCGGACAAUAAACCCAGCGUCGAGUUCCACGAGAGAGGGAAGAAUCACAAAGAAAAUGUUGCGGCCAAAAUCGCAGAGGUAAUGCAAGAAG